AACGAACGCUGGCGGCGCGCCUAAUACAUGCAAGUCGAGCGAGAAGGUGUAGCAAUACACUUGUAAAGCGGCGAACGGGUGAGGAAUACAUGGGUAAUCUACCAUCGAGUGGGGAAUAACCAACCGAAAGGUUGGCUAAUACCGCGUACGCCUCCGAGUCUUCGGGUUCGGAGGGAAAGCUGCACUGUGAGUGUAGCGCUCUUUGAUGAGCUCAUGUCCUAUCAGCUUGUUGGUAGGGUAACGGCCUACCAAGGCUUUGACGGGUAGCUGGUCUGAGAGGACGAUCAGCCACACUGGCACUGCGACACGGGCCAGACUCCUACGGGAGGCAGCAGUAAGGAAUAUUGCGCAAUGGGCGAAAGCCUGACGCAGCGACGCCGCGU
rnacentral:rRNA from 1 species